UUUUAACCCUGUGACCACGUGGAAUUGUCUCUGCAACCAUGCAGAAUUAAGGCAUAAAAAAUAGACAUUCAUCCAUGAGUCAAAAGGCAGUGGGCCUGACUCAAACUCAAUGCCGACCCUGACAUACUGUAUGUGUGCAAGGUUGUGCUGAGCGACUAGUGCUUUUUGAGGUUGGUUGGGUUUUGUUUAGAUUUAGUUUGAGAAUUUUAGUUAAAUGUGACCCGUUUCAGGCAACUAGGCAUAUGUUGCAAGUCAUGAGUUCACAGGAGAGCCAUUUCAAUGUUUUUUAACAUUUUUCAAAUUGAGUUUUUUUUACAGAACUAUAAGGCUAUUUUAGCUGGUCAGUCUGUUGGUAAUCCUGUCGAAUGCGGGUUAAUUUAAAAUAUAUCGUGUAGUAGCAUAUGCGUUGCUCUCCACUUUCUGGAGGAUCUUGUUUUGAAAUCAGUGGAAUUAGAGUAUUGAUAGUUGAAGAGAUGGAGGAAACGCCUGUCUCCGGAUUAAAUCUUGUAAUUAAGGGCAACCGUGGCAUGGCAUCUGCGACAGGGAGACGCGUCCAUCACGCAUGGUGUAUUCGGGUAAGAUGGUCUAGCAUUAGAUGGCAACAUUUUCUGAUAUUACACAUUUAUAAUUUUGACAAAGUGGUUUUAUUUCAAGCUAAAAUCUACUGUUAGCUAGCUAACAUUAGCUGGCUGGCUCCUUAGUUAACAUUAAGUGUAUGACAUUAUUAUGCGUAUCCCAAAACUGUUUGCUUUGCUAGUUUGUGCCUAAUGUUAGCUACCUAACAUUGAACCUGGUUGGUUAGCUCCCAGCAGAUUCAUGCAGGGUAGUAACAACAUGAUUUGGCACUAUGUUCAUUGUUAGCUGGCUGGCUCGUUAGCUAAUGUUACGUGACGUGUGUGUGUGAUCUUACACGUUGUUUACCUAGCUAGGUUCAUUGUUUACCUAGCUAGCUACAUGUCUUAAACUAAAGUAUACUGUUAACUAGCUAACGUUAGCUGGCUGGCUCCCUAGCUGACGUUGUUAUUCGUAUCCCAGAGCCGUUUGCUUGGCUAGUUAUUGCCUAAUGUUAGCAAGCUAACAUUGAACCUGGUUGGUUAUACCCCAGCAGAUUCAUACAGGGUAGACAUGACACGAUUUGGCACUUCUGUAUGUUCAUUGUUGUUUAACUAGCUAACGUUAGCAGGCUGGUUCGUUAGCUUACGUGACGUGUGUGAUCUUAUACAUUGUUUACUUAGCUAUGUUCAUUGUUUAGCUAGCUGCAUGUUGAAUAUGACCAGUGUUAGUAAACAUCGGCGUAAAAAACGUAAUGAAAUUGUUGCCAGCAGAGCUGGUUGAGUUGUUCAUGUUAUCCAGAGGUAAACAAAUCAUUGGCCAGAGUGUCAAGUGUGCGCUCUGAACGCUUCUAGAGCGAAAUGAGAUGGGUGGGGCUAAAGCUUAAGAGGGUGUGAACGACGCUGAAUGGGUGUAGCCAAAGAAGAGCUCUUCGGUAGAUGCCAAAACAUUCAAGGCCAUUUUCCCAAACGUGAGUUUAAAGGUUUAUCAACUUUCAAAGCAGAAUUACUUUCCCAUUGUUCAAAAAAAAGGGUAUGAUAUGCCAUUUUGUAGCUCUGAGUCUCUACUUUUAUCAAAUGUAAAAAAUAAAAAAAACACAAUUUCAAAUUUUGCUACAUAAGACCGAAUCCAGGUGGUCAGUCACAAAUGCAUUAUGUGGGUUGACUUCUGUAACGACACUCUGAGAUGGACAGGAAGAAGUCCAAGAAGUACCACUAUGACCUCUGCAGAGUCAUCAAACAAGCAAAAGGACAAUAUAGGAACAAGGUGGAAUUAUAUUAGACAGGCCUGCCACUACAGUCCAUUAUGGAUUACAAAGGAAGACCCAGCUGUGAUCUGCCCAACAAUGCCUCUCUACCAGAUGAACUCAAUGCAUUUUAUGCACACUUCAACAACAUCAUGCCAGGGUUGUGUCUGAGGGUGCUGAUACUGCAGCUCUUAUACUAUUCCAAUGACAUUUCAGAAACCUGACAGAGCAUAUCCAACACUCAGACACCAUUCAGAAACAAAGCAUUUGUGUUUAGUGAGUCAUCAGAUCAGAGGUGUCAUGGUUCCACCUGUCACCAGAGGGCGGCAGAGACCGUCCUAGAGACAAUAAUGAAUCUCAGUAACAGGUAGUGAACCAGUUCUCUCUGAAGCAAGAGGAGGAGGUCAGGUUCAUCAGAUGGUCACCACAACCUAAACUCACCUGGAGAAACGAAGAGGGGACAGAGAUAAAAUAAUGAACAACAAGUACACAACACCUCUGAUCCUCAGGGCUUGGUGAGUGUCAGUAGUUGGCUGCUGUACUCUCCCUCAGAUUCUGAUUGGCUCUCCUGUACAGUCUCUCUGUCGGAGGAGAAGAAAGAGACUGGAGACCAGCCCCAUGUAUACAGAAAUCGUAAUACACAGCAACAUUUGUCAAUUGAUGAAAGGUAAGACAAAGGACAGACAAUGUGCCACACAUACCACACAUUCAACAGUAUUGAUUUCCUCACGUGGCAGCAAAAAUAUGAGGGGAUAUACAUGUAGGUGUUAAAUAUCUUAUAUUGAUUUAAUGUAUCUACCCAAAUACAUAAUCAGAAACAUGGUAAACCAGGCUCACUUCAGAUAUCGAAUACAGAUUUGUGUAUUUUCACAUUUUAAUUGGUUUGAUUAAUCUUUUGUACAUAAGAGCCUUCAUUACGUCUGUGAUCAUUUACCGCUAGUCGCCUCUACUGCUAUCGGGCUCUUCAUCUGGAACAGAAAAACAGGCAUGUCAACAAGAUAAUAAAAUGAAUAGCAAUGCCAAAUGCAAUUACAAUGUUUUAAAUGAGAAGUCUAUAUUGAUGGUCUAGUAAUGGUAGAACUGACUGAUUGGAAUGUUAAUAGGGUGAGAGAGUCUAUCAUCUCCACAUAUACACUGCGUGCACAAUUAGUAGGCAAAUUGUAUUCCUCAGGAUUCAGUUUAUUGCUGAACAAACUCGGUGCUCUCAGUCAAUCCAAAAUGUUACUGAACCUCAAACCUGAAUGUUUAACAAAGGAAAAGUGAGUUUUGUCUUUCUCAGGGGAAUAUAUGUGUGCACAAUUAUUAGGCAACAAAAUUACAGAAAUAAUUUCGCCCAACUCGCUUGUUUAUUCUACAUUUUUAGAGUAAGUGUGUCAUAAAAUAGAUCUGCAGGAGGGGUGAAGUCAAGCGCAGGAGACUCAGGUACGUGAAACACGUUUUAAUGAAGAAGUCAAGUCCAAAGAACCGAACUGACAAGGCAGGGUAAAAAUGAUUCCAUAAAAGACAAAACACAGUCUAGGAAAGUAGCGGGACGCAGCCCAGCAACCCAAAUGCCAAGACACGUAACGGUAAAAAAAGGGCAAGAAAAAAUAAAUCCCCAACCUACAAUAACAGAGACGAAACAACCCCAAACACAAAACAGACAGACUAAAUACCCCACUAAUUACUAAACACAAAACAAGUGCAACACUAACCAGACAUUACCAAACGGAUAAGGAAAUUGGUGGCAGCUAGUAGGACGACGAGUGCCGCCCGACCGGAGAGAGGCGCCACCUUCUGUGGACGUUGUGACAAAGUAACAAAUAAGUAACACAAUAUAGCCACCCUUGUCAACGGCCAUGAGCCUUCCAUCCAUGGAGUCUGUCAGUUUCUUGAUCUGUGUGUGUGUGUGUGAGAGAGAGAUUUUCACAUUGGACACCGGACAGGAUAAAUACUCCAGAUAUAACAGACUGACCCUAGCCCCCUGACAUACCCCUCCUCCACCUUGCUAAUUCUUCUCAAGUCUUUUGCAGUUCAUUUGCGCCCUUUUCCUCUCCAUGCUUUUUUUGGACAAAACGUUUGAUUGUCAGGUGGAAACGCCUCAAUAGUUUAGCUAUUUCAAGUGUUGCUUCCGUCUGAAAGACAUUUUACAAUUUUGGACUUUUCAGUGUCAGCUAAAUCUCUUUUUUUGGCCCAUUUUACCCGAGGCAAUGAAGCUGCCUAAUAAUUAUGCACACCUUGAUAUAAAGUGUUAUUCACUUCCACCACACCCUCCCUCAUUACACAAGAAAAUGAUUAAAUCCAAGAAGCAUUCAAGUUUAUAUGGUUUGGAGUUGAAAAUGUGCGUAGAAAUAAGGAUAAGAUCAGAAUACUCACUUGCCUAAUAAUUGUGCACGCAGUGUAUAUAUCAAAUUGUAUUUGUCACAUCCACCGAAUACAACAGGUGUAGACCUUACAGUGAAAUGCUUACAAGCCCUUAACCAACAAUGCAGUUGUAAGAAAAAUAAGUGUUAAACUCUCCUCUGAAAGUGAACAAAUUGAAGAUGUAUUAUAGAUUUUGUUUGCAAAUUUCACUGUGAUAUUCUCGGUUGCAUGUCUUAUGAGUGUCGACAAAUAGCGAUGCAUGUUGUGUAUCUGUGUUCGGCUGACUGGAAAGAAGCCUUUAUUGUGACGUUGGUCCUGUUUUUGGCCAUCUAUGGUCUUCAUCCUGUACAAACAGAGGUAUAGAACUCCAAAAUAUUAGCGGUUUAUGAAUCAUAGCAGCAAUAUAUGACAGUAAUACCAACCCUAUACAGAAAGGUGGCGAACAUAUUUAAUUAAACAAUAACAUAUUUGGGAUUUUAGUCCAGAAACAGUGCAGGUAGUGUAUUUAAUCUGAUCUGUGUGAUAAAUAAACUAAGCGUAAGAUAUGCGUUAUGAAAUAACAUGAGCCGUGAUUGCUCUUAUUUUGACAUGAUUGCGUCUCUAUAUUUCAGAUCAAACUCAGUUGGUAAGAUGCCAGCAGCUAACUGUUUCAUUCUGAUCUCUGGGUGAAAUGCUAACAUAAGAUACAUGAGACAUUUUUUUAGGAAACCUUCCAAAUACACAAAUGAUGAUAUACACAUAUCUCAAUAGUAUUUGACUCUCCUUGUUACUUAAUUCCCCUUUUACAAUAACCUUCACCUUUUUCCAUUCUACAGAGACAAAACAAUGACUAGAAGCCAAUGUUCACUAUCAUGAUAUAAGGCAAUCAUAUAACUUGUUGAGCUCUUAUCUUACAAUGUCUUUUAACUUGAUAAGCAAUUUUGACCUAGUUUGUAUCAGUCACUUAUAUAUGAUAAUGAAUGGCAAGAUAAUGACCUAAAUGUAUUCUGUUGGGGGCAGAAAACACAGUGCAGACACCUAUUGAACAGAUAACAGCUGGUAAAGAACAGUAAUGGGGAGAAAACAUUUCAUUUCUCAGUCUAAAUUGGAACUAUAAUUGACAGUGUUUGCAGUGUUCAUAAAAAAUGUUUCCUGACAUUUCAGAGUGAGUUAAAUCGUAAACUAUGCACUUUAAAUAGUAAUAAACCAUACAAAGUUUGAAAAAAAAUUAAAAACAAGUCGCUUACUAAAAGGGAUAGUUCACACCAAAAUUACACUUUGGUUUCUAUACCCUGCAAGCAGUCUAUGGACAAGAUAUGACAGCAAACCAUGCUUUGGUUUAGUUGCACUGUUUCUAUAUGCUUUCCCCCCCCCAAAAGUAUCUCGAAUUGAUUACAUAGCUCAACAAAGUCACUUAUAGAUGAUUUGAAAAUGGUAACAUAAAAUGCUGAUAUCAGUCCCAUGACUUGAAUGGGAUUUGUGCCACAAAAUGUUAGCAUAUGGAAACUGUGCCAGGGAAACUAAACCAAAGUAUGGAUUAAUGUCAUACCUUGUCUAUAGACUGCUUACAGGGUAAGGACAGCAAUAUAUCAUUUUGUAAUUUGGAUGAAUUAUCCCUUUAAUAUUUUUUCAUGCAGAUUAACACCAGGUGAAAUGAUUUAAAGGUAAGAAAAAACACUGUAGGAUAGGAUAAUAAGUAUGUAUUAGUUUAUAACAUAUUUAUACAACGGGUGGGUCUAAUCCUGGAUGCUGAUUGGUUAAAACUGAGUUCCAGACUGGUGUCUUUUCCACAAGUUACCACCCGCUAAGGCUAUGAAGUUGAAAUGCCCAUUCACUAUUCCAUCUGACAGUGCAAUCCACUGUCUCAUUAGCCCAGCCAGGCAAUUUAUAAACUUGUUCUUUACUGUAAAAAGCAUCUAGCCAUUAUCACCCAUGUCUUCUAGACUAGCAUUUGUAUUAUCCUGUCUGUCUCUCUGACAUUUCCAACAUUGUUUCAGUAUUCAAAUUCGAUCUCCAGCUGUCCCAUAGUAACAGACAGACAGGCUGUCAACUUUUCUCAGCCAAUCGAAAUCUGGAAUCAGCAUAAUUUUUAUGGAUAUGUACAAAAAAAAGGUCAAAAUAAAAUCCCAGAAUGCAGCUAAUUUGCUGUCAUUCCAGCUUCAGUUUGAAGUGAUUGUUUUAGCUGUGUAGUUGGCUAGCUCCUCUGAACAUUGUCCUGAUGAGAGACCAUAUUUUCUAUGCCAGGUGAAAUCUCCCAUCAUUAGUUCAUUGUUAAAAAAUAAUCACUAGAAAACAGCUUAACCAAACCCAAAUAAAUUGAUCUAGAAAUACCAAUCAAUUUUGAGGAGAGACAAGGUCAAUCACCAAUCAGGAUAUUACUUAAUUCAAAACGUAUUAAUAACAUUGAUUCAUUGUUUCAAUAAUGAAGAUGGUCAACAAACCACCUCUAGAUGAUUCGUUGAGAGCCCAAUGAGCGGAUUUGAGCCACAGCAUUUUAUAGCAAAGUACAUCCACCUGAAUGUUCAUGACAACCAACAGAUGUAUGGAAUGAGUCACAAGGUUAGGAUUUGUAUGAAAGAUACUAAUAAUUCACAGCAGACAGUAUUUGUUGUAAAGACUGUUCUCAUUAUGUAGAAACCCAUACUCGAGCGAUCUCUCUGUGGUACCUUCCAGCACACAAACAUCAACUCUUGCUAUAGAAUGCGGUCUUUAGUUUUUUAUCACCAAAGGCAUCAUAAACCUCCAGACGAGCUUCAAUGCCAUACAACUCCUUCCGUGGCCUCCAACUGCUCUUAAAUGUCAAGUAAAACCAAAUGCAUGCUCUUCAACCGAUCGCUGCCCGCACCUGCCCCGCCCGUCUAGCAUCACUACUCUGGACGGUUCUGACUUAGAAUAUGUGGGCAACUACAAAUACCUAGGUGUCGGGUUAGACUGUAAACUCCAGACUCACAUUAAGCAUCUCCAAUCCAAAAUUAAAUCUAGAAUCGGCUUCCUAUUUCACAACAAAGCAUCCUUCACUCAUGCUGACAAACAUACCCUUGGAAAACUGACUAGCCUACCGAUCCUUGACUUCGGCGAUGUCAUUUACAAAAUAGCCUCCAACACUCUACUCAACAAAUUGGAUGCAUUCUAUCACAGUGCCAUCCAUUUUGUCACCAAAGCCCCAUAUACUACCCACCACUGUGACCUGUAUGCUCUCGUUGGCUGGCCCUCGCUUCACAUUCGUCGCCAAACCCACUGGCUCCAGGUCAUCUAUAAGUCUUUGUUAGGUAAAGCCCCGCCUUAUCUCAGCUCACUGGUCACCAUAGCAGCACCCACCCGUAGCACACGCUCCAGCAGGUAUAUUUCACUGGUCACCCCAAAGCCAAUUCCUCAUUUGGCCGCCUUUCCUUCCAGUUCUCUGCUGCCAAUGACUGGAACGAAUUGCAAAAAUCACUGAAGCUGGAGACUCGUAUCUCCCUCACUAAUAUUAAGCACCAGCUGUCAGAGCAGCUUACAGAUCAUUACACCUGUACAUAGCCCAUCUAUAAAUAUAUAUAUAUAUCCUGUUGGGGCUAGGGGGCAGUAUUGAGAAUUUUGAAAAAAAUAUGUGCCCAUUUUUAACUGCCUCCUACACCAACUCAGAAGGUAGGAUAUGCAUAUUAUUAACAGAUUUGGAUAGAAAACACUCUGAAUUUUCUAAAACUGUUUGAAUGGUGUCUAAGUAUAACAAAACUCAUAUGGCAGGCAAAAACCUGAGAAAAAAAAAAAAUAUUGUGGCUGUACUAUUUUUUUUUUUGAGUCAUUGUUAUUAGAUACCACAGUGAGAAAGGAUUCAUUUCGCACUUCCUACGGCUUCCACUAGAUGUCAACGAUCUUUAUAAAGUUGUUUGAAGCGUCUAUGAUGAACAGAGACCGGAUGACAAGGAAGAGAAUUUGACCUCCCUAAGAUGUCGUCACUUCAUUAUUGGCUGCACCUGCGCAAUCAUUGCGAUACAUUUUUCAAAUACGCUUUUCAAGACACAGGAGAGGUCGGGUUGAAACAUUACUGAUGUUUCACGUUAAAAAUGGCUCUAAAGAUUGAUGCUAAACAACGUUUGACAUGUUUGAACGAACGUAAAUAGAUUAUUUUUUUUACUUUUCGCCGUGACUUAUUGACAAUAGUAAUUUUCAUAUUACAUGGUUACAAGAUGGUGCUAACCUGUAUAGCCUAGCCUAUUGUUCUUAGCACAGCACCCGGUUUAUUGCAAAUUGUGAUUUCCCAGUAAAGUUAUUUUGAAAUCUGGCAAUGCAGUAGCAUUUACGAAAUGGUAAACUAUGAAUAUUUGAAUGACAAUAUUAUAAUUUACCAAUGUUCUCGAAUAGUAAUUUUGUAACGUUGUUCACCGGAAGCAUUUGAGAGAAAAAAAAAAUCUGAAUUUCACCGCUACUGUAAAAUGCUGUUUUUGGAUAUAAAUAUGAACUUGAUGGAACAAAAAAUGCAUGUAUUGUAUAACAUAAUGUCUUAGGAGUGUCAUCUGAGGAAGAUUGUCAAAGGUUAGUGCAUAAUUCUAGCUGGUUAUCCGCUUUUGGUGACGCCUGUCUUUGAAUUGACAAAACAUUACACACAGCUAUUUUCAAUGUACUCUCCUAACUUUAUGCUUUCGCCGUAAAGCCUCUUUGUCCGAUUUCAAUGUGGUUGGAUUUAGGAGAUGUUUAUCUUUCAAAUUGUGAGAAAUAGUUGAUUGUUUGAGAAAUUGAAAUUAUUAGAUUCUUGCAGUUUUGACUUUCCCGCCAUGGUCUCUUGACAAUGAAUCCCUAUACCGGGAUAAGAUCCCCAACAGGAUAUAUAUAUUUAUUUUUUGCUCCUUUGCACCCCAGUAUCUCUACUUGCACAUUCAUCUUAGGCACAUCAAUCACUCCAGUGUUUAAUUGCUAAAUUGUAAUUAUUUCGCCACUAUGGCCUAUUUAUUGCCUUACCUCCCUAAUCUUACUUCAUUUGCACACUGUAUGUAGACUUUUCUAUUGUGUUAUUGACUGUACAUUUGUUUAUUCCAUGUGUAACUCUGUUUGUGUCGCACUGCUUUGCUUUAUCUCGGCCAGGUUGCAGUUGUAAAUGAGAACUUGUUCUCAGCUGGCCUACCUGGUUAAAUAAAGGUGAAAUAAAAUGUUUAAAAAAUCAUUUAUAACAUUUUUGUAAUGCUUUUUUCUGGAUUUUUUU
rnacentral:lncRNA from 1 species